UGCAUUUUAGCGUGGGCAUCAAUCUCAGAAUCAGAAUCUGAAGAGGAAGAGGAAGAAGAAGAAGAAGAAGAGUGUUUGUCAUUUCCACGUUGACGCUUCUCAAUUUCUGGUGAUUCCCCCAUUGUUUGAUCGAGAAGCAACGAUCUCCCUCUCAUCCCCUCCGGUUAAUUUUCCGACCUCUCAACGGUCGGCGAAAGAUGGCUACUAAACCUUCAGGCGCUGGUAAUCACGUCAUCGGCCUUUCUUUCACGGGUCGAAGCCUUUACAACGCCAAUCGAGGCUCUCCUUCUUACAGCGCCGCCAUGCCUUCCCGAUCUACUUCCGUCGAGUUCCAGUGACGUGAGUGACAGUGGAAAGGAUGCUGAGACCUGAGAGGGACCCCGCCGACACUGCCUUAUAUGGCCCUUCGGAGACGUACGCGGCCCCAACAGCGAAUGAUAUUCGAGAUACCAUAUAUGAUCUGCGUCACCGUCGGACUCUGGUUUUGCGACAAUCGGAGGCGGACAAGUUUCUAUUUGGUGGGUCUGGAAAUUGCAAUAGCGCAAAUGCAUUGAAGUUGAACCCCAAAGAUAACUUAGAAGGAAGAUGCAGAUUGUUGUGAUGAAUUAUGGUGGUUUUGUUAGAAGCACUGACGGAUUGCAAUCUCUAGUUCUAUACUCUGUUGAUUCAUUAGUUAUGUGGCUGCAAUGUUGCCUUUGAAAUUGAUAAGCUUUCCUUAUUUAGCAUUGGUUUUGUACUUUACUUCUGAACCAGCAAGGAAGAAGCGAAAAAGAAUAUGUAUGCACGUUGUUAUUUGUGGGUUCACAAUACGGGUUUUUUUGGUCU